AGUAACUCAGUUCUUUUACAAAAUGUAAUAAAUAUAAACUAAAUAUAAACUAAAAACUGCUCCCAUUGUCUGGAACAUGACACUGAUACUAAACUGUUCCGAGAUAUCCUUUUGGAAAAGUCACCAUAUAUGGAGUUCAGAGCUUUUAUAGAUGCAAGCGUUUAGAAUUGUCUUGGGCCUCUAAAGCAACCCCCUUAACCCCCCACCACAUCAAAUCACCCUAACCACCCUCUCAGAGAUCCUGGCGCCCCCCUGACACUACUAUGAACGGCACUUCGCCCAAUUCUUAGUUUCAAAUCGCCUUUCUCCAGAAGAUAGAAAGAACACGCGCAAACUUAACAGAUAUGGCCUGGUCACUACGCAAGUGUUUCCGACGCUGUCUUCACGCAAUAUUAUGGCUUUUUCGUCUGUGGGUGGUCUUGUUUUAUUCUUUAGGAUUAAAUGCGCUCGCACAGCAUGGGCGCUGUCCAACUGAAAUUCAUGAAGCCAUUGAAGGUACAAAACUCCUAAAACUAAGUUCUAAUCACGAACUAGAUCAGAUAAGUGUUUAUAGCUAUUAUCACUAGAAGCUUAUAACCUAAAGAAAGCAAGUUAAUCCUUGAAAUCAGAGAUUGAUCUAAUGAAAUCUUCCUUAGGAAAGGCAAGACACCCCGUUUUGACGUAGAAUCACUAAUAGAUUUUUAGUUUCACCUUGAUCUAUACACCUCCAUAUGUGCGAAUGCAUGCAAGAAACGGGUUGCAUGGUCUAGCUGUUCCUUUGCGGUUGGACAUGUAAUGUUUAUUUUUGUGUGGAUCGGAAUUUCAUUUCAAUACAUGAUUACAAUAGUCUCACGACUGAACUUCUACAUCGAUACAGCCUGUUAUAAUACCUUGUAACAUGUAGUCAUAAGCACAACUGACGCAUAGUGUCUCGAUCCAACGAUUUGUCGUUUAUUUCUCUCGUCAUUUGAUGCUUCUGGUCUUAUCAUGUUGCGAACACGAAUUAAAAGAAAAUUUGAAAUCAAUUUCUUCGAGGUCUCAAGUCAGUAAAAUUUGUAACUGAAAUUUAAACCUGUCUCUCACAGAUAUGGAGCUGGGAUAUCCCGUUCCAUGUUCCGAGGACCUUAACUGGCGUAUUCCAACACAAAAUGAUGACAGAACCGAUGCAGAAGAGCUGCACUAUCCCUUGCGGUUUACAGAUCAAGGCGACUAACUUGCACAGCACUGACACAAAAGGAGAGACGUUUCACAGAGCCUGAGGAGAAAACAAGUUUGAAAUAAAUCACACUUUUGUUCAUGGAUAUUUACACGGAUGCUCAGUAAGAAGAUAAACUGAACAGACUAGACUGGCUGAAUACAGCUGUCCAUUUUCAAACAAUCGAUGAUAUUUUAACAAUGUUUAUUUCUAGCCAAGGGCUUCGAUAUAACCUCAUUCGACAUGCUUGUCUUGUAAUAAAGGUACUGACAACGUAUUUGA